CAGUCGCCGCGGUAAGACAGAGGAUGCAAGCGUUAUCCGGAAUGAUUGGGCGUAAAGGGCUCGCAGGCGGUUUCUUAAGUCUGAUGUGAAAGCCCCCGGCUCAACCGGGGAGGGUCAUUGGAAACUGGGAAACUUGAGCGCAGAAGAGGGGAGUGGAAUUCCACGUGUAGCGGUGAAAUGCGUAGAGAUGUGGAGGAACACCAGUGGCGAAGGCGACUCUCUGGUCUGUAACUGACGCUGAGGAGCGAAAGCGUGGGGAGCGAACAGGAUUAGAUACCCCAGUAGUCCCUGUCUCUUAUAC
rnacentral:rRNA from 1 species